rnacentral:rRNA from 1 species
CCAGCAGCCGCGGUAAUACAUAGGGGGCAAGCGUUAUCCGGAAUAACUGGGCGUAAAGGGUGCGCAGGUGGUUUAACAAGUUAGUGGUGAAAGGCAUAGGCUCAACCAAUGUAAGCCAUUAAAACUGUUUAACUUGAGUGCAGGAGAGGAAAGUGGAAUUCCUAGUGUAGCGGUGAAAUGCGUAGAUAUUAGGAGGAAUACCAGUGGCGAAGGCGACUUUCUGGACUGCAACUGACACUGAGGCACGAAAGCGUGGGGAGCAAACAGGAUUAGAUACCCUGGUAGUCCACGCCGUAAACGAUGAGUACUAGGUGUCGGGUGAAGAACUCGGUGCCGAAGUUAACACAUUAAGUACUCCGCCUGGGGAGUACGCUCGCAAGAGUAAAACUCAAAGGAAUUGCCGGGGACCCGCACAAGCAGCGGGAGCAUGUGGUUUAAUUCGAAGCAACGCGAAGAACCUUACCUAAACUUGACAUACCAAUGACAGCCUUUUAAUCGAGGACUUCUACCUUCGGGUAGACAAGGAUACAGG